AACAACUCUUUAGAUCUACCAAAAAAUGGCGGACAGAAAGACGUUUGCUUUCCAGGCUGAGGUUAAUUAGCUUCUCAGUCUUAUUAUCAACACUUUCUACAACUACAAGGAGGUCUUCUUGGCGAACUCAUAAGCAAUUCUUCCAAUGUACUAUGGAGAUAGGCCACACUUCUUUGCUGAAGAAUAUGUAAUUCUCACUUGUGUCCUUGAAAUCUUUUCUUCUUUCUAGUUCUUUUUCCUUCUGAAAACAAGUGCAACUUGAACCAAUUUACUUGGUCUCUGUGAGUACAAAUAUGGGAAUAUUUACAUGGUGUCCACCUUGUGACAUUACAAUACUCAUCAAAUUUUACUUUUCAGAAUUGGUAAAGAGAGAGAUACAUGUUAAUGGGUGUGAAAUUAGCUGGCGAGGCUAAUUAAGAAUGUUCAGAAAGCAUAUCAAAUUUUACUUGAAUCAUUCUUCUCAUAAGAAUGAGUUGGAUUGUGCUCAUGACAUAUAAUCAUAUGAAGAGCUAUGGUGACUUAUGGAUGGUAUAAAUAUUGCAAAUUUGAACUUUUCAAACUAUGGAUAACAUAGGCAACUCAAUUGUAUAUCUCUUAGACUUCUAUCUACGUAAAGAAAUUCUCUGUUUCAUUUGAUUAGAAUUGCCACUACAAAAAUGAUUGAUCUAAACAGGCACAAGAAUUGUUUUGCCAAUG